AACAGGAUUAGAUACCCUGGUAGUCCACGCCGUAAACGAUGCUAACUCGUUUUUGGGUUUUCGGAUUCAGAGACUAAGCGAAAGUGAUAAGUUAGCCACCUGGGGAGUACGGACGCAAGUCUGAAACUCAAAGGAAUUGACGGGGGCCCGCACAAGCGGUGGAUUAUGUGGUUUAAUUCGAUGAUACGCGAGGAACCUUACCAAGGCUUAAAUGGGAAAUGACAGGUUUAGAAAUAGACUUUUCUUCGGACAUUUUUCAAGGUGCUGCAUGGUUGUCGUCAGCUCGUGCCGUGAGGUGUUAGGUUAAGUCCUGCAACGAGCGCAACCCCUGUCACUAGUUGCCAUCAUUCAGUUGGGGACUCUAGUGAGACUGCCUACGCAAGUAGAGAGGAAGGUGGGGAUGACGUCAAAUCAUCACGGCCCUUACGCCUUGGGCCACACACGUAAUACAAUGGCCAGUACAGAGGGCAGCUACCAGGCGACUGGAUGCGAAUCUCGAAAGCUGGUCUCAGUUCGGAUUGGAGUCUGCAACUCGACUCUAUGAAGCUGGAAUCGCUAGUAAUCGCGCAUCAGCCAUGGCGCGGUGAAUACGUUCCCGGGCCUUGUACACACCGCCCGUCAAGCCAUGGAAGUCUGGGGUACCUGAAGUCGGUGACCGUAACAGGAGCUGCCUAGGGUAAAACAAGUAACUAGGGCUAAGUCGUAACAAGGUAACC
rnacentral:rRNA from 1 species